rnacentral:rRNA from 1 species
AGUCGAACGAUGAUGGAGGAGCUUGCUCUUCCUGAUUAGUGGCACCGGGUGAGUAUACCAUACAUAAUGUACCCCUUAGUUUGGGAUAACCACUGUUAACGGUGAUUAGUACCAAAUACUCCUUCUUGUCUUUUGCAAGUCGGGAAAGUUUUUUCGCUAAGGGAUCAUUCUAUGUCCUAUCAGCUAGUUGGUGAGGUAAUGGCUCACCAAGGCUAUGACGGGUAUCUGGUUUGAGAGGAUGAUCAUACACACUGAAACUGAAACACGGUCCAGACUCCUACAGGAGGCAACAAUGAUGAAUAUUGCACGAUGGAUGAAACUCUGAUGCCCCACCGCCGCGUGUAGGAUGACUCAUUUCCGUGUGUAAACUCCUUUUAAGAGGGAAGAUAAUGACGGUACCUCUUGAAUAACCACCGGCUAACUCCGUGCCUCCAUCCGCGGUAAUACUGAGGGUGCAAGCGUUACUCGGAAUCACUGGGCGUAGAGGAUGCGUACGCUGACUUUUAAAUCAAGCGUGAAAUCCAAUGACUUAACCAUUGAACUGCGCUUGAAACUGGGAGUCUAGAGUUCAGAAGGGGCACAUGGAAUUAUUGGUGUAGGGGUAAAAUCCGGACAUAUCACUAGGAAUAU